CAAUAGCGUAUAUUAAAGUUGUUGCAGUUAAAAAGCUUGUAGUUGGAUUUCUGGUAAGAUGCCCUGGCCCGCGUCUAACGUGAGUGCCGGUUGUGCGUCUGCCAUCCUUCUAGAAAACCUUCUUACCCUUCACUGGGCCGAGAAGGGGAUCUAGAUCUUUUACUUUGAAAAAAUUAGAGUGUUUAAAGCAGGCUUUUGCUAUGAAUACAUUAGCAUGGAAUAAUAAUCUAGGACUUCGGUUCUAUUUUGUUUGGUUUCUUAGAAACUAGAAGUAAAUGAUUGAUAGGGAUAGUUGGGGGUGGCUAGUAUUGAGCGGCCAGAGGUGAAAUUACUUGGAUUCGCUCAAGACUAACUUAUGCGAAAGCAUUCACCAAGGAUGUCUUCUUUAAUCAAGAACGAAAGUU
rnacentral:rRNA from 1 species